rnacentral:rRNA from 1 species
UACAGAGGUCCCAAGCGUUGUUCGGAUUCACUGGGCGUAGAGGGUGCGUAGGUGGUUAGGUAAGUCCGAUGUGAAAUCUCCAGGCUCAACCUGGAAAUGGCAUUGGAUACUAUCUAGCUUGAGGAGUGGAGGGGGGACUGGAAUUCUCGGUGUAGCAGUGAAAUGCGUAGAUAUCGAGAGGAACACCAGUGGCGAAGGCGAGUCCCUGGACACUUCCUGACACUGAGGCACGAAAGCUAGGGGAGCAAACAGG